AGAGUUUGAUUCUGGCUCAGGAUGAACGCUGGCGGCGUGCCUAACACAUGCAAGUCGAACGGGGGAGCAUGAGGAAGAAAGCGCUUGCGUUUUUGGAAUCAUGUUUUCCAGUGGCGGACGGGUGAGUAACGCGUGGGCAACCUGCCCUGUACAGGGGGAUACCAUCUGGAAACAGAUGCUAAUACCGCAUAAUCGCAUCAGCCCGCAUGGGCAGAUGCGGAAAGGGAGCGAUCCCGGUACAGGAUGGACCCGCGUCUGAUUAGCCAGUUGGCAGGGUAACGGCCUACCAAAGCGACGAUCAGUAGCCGGCCUGAGAGGGUGGACGGCCACAUUGGGACUGAGACACGGCCCAGACUCCUACGGGAGGCAGCAGUGGGGAAUAUUGCACAAUGGGGGAAACCCUGAUGCAGCGACGCCGCGUGAGUGAAGAAGUAUUUCGGUAUGUAAAGCUCUGUCAGCAGGGAAGAAGAAAGACGGUACCUGACCAAGAAGCCCCGGCUAACUACGUGCCAGCAGCCGCGGUAAUACGUANGGGGCAAGCGUUAUCCGGAAUCACUGGGUGUAAAGGGAGCGUAGACGGCUGUGCAAGCCUGG
rnacentral:rRNA from 1 species